rnacentral:rRNA from 1 species
UGGGGAAUAUUGGACAAUGGAGGAAACUCUGAUCCAGCAAUACUGUGUGUGUGAAGAAGGUUUUAGGACUGUAAAACACUUUUAGUAGGGAAGAAAAAAAUGACGGUACCUACAGAAGAAGCAACGGCUAAAUACGUGCCAGCAGCCGCGGUAAUACGUAUGUUGCGAGCGUUAUCCGGAAUUAUUGGGCUUAAAGGGCAUCUAGGCGGUAAGACAAGUUGAAGGUGAAAACCUGUGGCUCAACCAUAGGCUUGCCUACAAAACUGUUGAACUAGAGUACUGGAAAGGUGGGUGGAACUACACGAGUAGAGGUGAAAUUCGUAGAUAUGUGUAGGAAUGCCGAUGAUGAAGAUAACUCACUGGACAGAAACUGACGCUGAAGUGCGAAAGCUAGGGGAGCAAACAGG